rnacentral:tRNA from 1 species
UGGUGGUCGUGGUCGGCUUGAACCGGCGGCUGCUGGCCGCCCUGGACCGGGCCGGGCGGUACGACGUCGUGCUGAUCGAGGAGCCGGCGG